GAAGCAAAACCAGAUGACCUUCUACACAGUCACUACACUCACCUACAAGGAGGAAGGAAGAGAGAUUAAGUGGACUGACUGAGUGGUGGUGCAAUGGGUCGGAUAUCUUUUCUGCUCUUGCUAAUCUCACUGCUGUGCUGCAGGGCCAUCAGAGCCUCUCUGACUGUGAGUCCCAGCAGCUCUCAGUUUUUCAUCAGGAAAUCUGUCUC